rnacentral:tRNA from 1 species
GCGGGUAUAGUUUAGUGGUAAAACUUCAGCUUUCCAAGCUGGUGUCGCGAGUUCGAUUCUCGUUACCCGCU